rnacentral:rRNA from 1 species
AGCAAAGCCUUCUCCAACAUGGAUCACCAGAUCCCAUCUGAUCUUUGAAACCAAGCCAUGUCAGUUCUGUUUAGUACUUUGAUGGGAGAACACCAAUGAUUACCGGGCACUGUAGCUU